CCUACGGGAGGCUGCAGUGGGGAAUAUUGCACAAUGGGGGAAACCCUGAUGCAGCAACGCCGCGUGAGUGAUGAAGGCUUUCGGGUCGUAAAGCUCUGUCAAGUGGGAAGAAAAUGCUUGAUGCUAAUACCAUCUUGUACUGACGGUACCACUAAAGGUAGCACCGGCUAACUCCGUGCCAGCAGCCGCGGUAAUACGGGGGGUGCAAGCGUUAUUCGGAAUUAUUGGGCGUAAAGGGCGCGUAGGCGGUCUCUUAAGUCAGAUGUGAAAGCCCGGGGCUUAACCCCGGAAGUGCAUUUGAAACUAAGGGACUUGAGUAUGGGAGAGGGAAGUGGAAUUCCUGGUGUAGAGGUGAAAUUCGUAGAUAUCAGGAGGAACACCGGUGGCGAAGGCGACUUCCUGGACCAAUACUGACGCUAAGGCGCGAAGGCGUGGGGAGCAAACAGGAUUAGAUACCCUGGUAGUC
rnacentral:rRNA from 1 species